UCCCUGUGUCAAAAAAUUAAAUUGUGUCUU
rnacentral:piRNA from 1 species